GGAGAUUUAGCUCAGUGGCAGAGCGCUUGCCUAGCAAGCGCAAGGUCCUGGGUUCGGUCCCCAGCUCCG
rnacentral:tRNA from 1 species